ACGUAGGGUGCGAGCGUUAAUCGGAAUUACUGGGCGUAAAGCGUGCGCAGGCGGUUAUAUAAGUCAGAUGUGAAAUCCCCGGGCUCAACCUGGGAACUGCAUUUGAGACUGUAUGACUAGAGUGUGGCAGAGGGGGGUGGAAUUCCACGUGUAGCAGUGAAAUGCGUAGAGAUGUGGAGGAACACCGAUGGCGAAGGCAGCCCCCUGGGCCAAUACUGACGCUCAUGCACGAAAGCGUGGGGAGCAAACAG
rnacentral:rRNA from 1 species